GCAUAUCAAUAAGCGGAGGAAAAGAAACCAACAGGGAUUGCCCCAGUAACGGCGAGUGAAGCGGCAAGAGCUCAAAUUUGAAAGCUGGCUCCUUCGGGGUCCGCAUUGUAAUUUGCAGAGGAUGCUUCGGGAGCGGUCCCCAUCUAAGUGCCCUGGAACGGGACGUCAUAGAGGGUGAGAAUCCCGUAUGGGAUGGGGUGUCCGCGCCCGUGUGAAGCUCCUUCGACGAGUCGAGUUGUUUGGGAAUGCAGCUCUAAAUGGGUGGUAAAUUUCAUCUAAAGCUAAAUAUUGGCCGGAGACCGAUAGCGCACAAGUAGAGUGAUCGAAAGAUGAAAAGCACUUUGAAAAGAGAGUUAAAAAGCACGUGAAAUUGUUGAAAGGGAAGCGCUUGCGACCAGACUCGCUCGCGGGGUUCAGCCGGCAUUCGUGCCGGUGUAUUUCCCCGCGGGCGGGCCAGCGUCGGUUUGGGCGGUCGGUCAAAGGCCCUCGGAAGGUAACGCCCCCAGGGGCGUCUUAUAGCCGAGGGUGCAAUGCGACCUGCCUAGACCGAGGAACGCGCUUCGGCUCGGACGCUGGCAUAAUGGUCGUAAGCGACCCGUCUUGAAACACGGACC
rnacentral:rRNA from 1 species